UCGGUGCCCUAAUGGUUAGAACGUCCGCUUUCGAUGCGCGCGGUCACGGGUUCGAAUCCCGUCGUAUCAU